UGGGCGAAAGGGUGCGUAGGUGGUCUUUCAAGUCGGUGGUUAAAGGCUACGGCUCAACCGUAUUAAGCCGCCGAAACUGGAAGACUUGAGUGCAGGAGAGGAAAGUGGAAUUCUCAGUGUAGCGGUGAAAUGCGUAGAUAUUGAGAAGAACACCAGUAGCGAAGGCGGCUUUCUGGACUGUAACUGACACUGAGGCACGAAAGCGUGGGUAGCAAACAGGAUUAGAUACCCUGGUAGUCCACGCCGUAAACGAUGAGUAUUAGGUGUCGGGGGUUACCCCCCUCGGUGCCGCAGUUAACGCAUUAAAUACUCCGCCUGGGGAGUACGCACGCAAGUGUGAAACUCAAAGGAAUUGACGGGGACCCGCACAAGUAGCGGAGCAUGUGGUUUAAUUCGAAGCAACGCGAAGAACCUUACCUAAGCUUGACAUCUCUCAGAUCGGUAGUUAAUCCUACCUUCCCUUCGGGGCUGAGAUGACAGGUGGUGCAUGGUUGUCGUCAGCUCGUGUCGUGAGAUGUUGGGUUAAGUCCCGCAACGAGCGCAACCCUUGUCUUUAGUUGCCAGCAUUAAGUUGGGCACUCUAGAGAGACUGCCAGGGAUAACCUGGAGGAAGGUGGGGAUGACGUCAAAUCAUCAUGCCCCUUAUGCUUAGGGCUACACACGUGCUACAAUGGGUGGUACAGAGGGUUGCCAAGCCGCAAGGUGGAGCUAAUCCCUUAAAGCCAUUCUCAGUUCGGAUUGUAGGCUGAAACUCGCCUACAUGAAGCUGGAGUUACUAGUAAUCGCAGAUCAGAAUGCUGCGGUGAAUGCGUUCCCGGGU
rnacentral:rRNA from 1 species